GACGAACGCUGGCGGCGUGCUUAACACAUGCAAGUCGAACGGAAAGGCCCUGCUUUUGUGGGGUGCUCGAGUGGCGAACGGGUGAGUAACACGUGAGUAACCUGCCCUUGACUUUGGGAUAACUUCAGGAAACUGGGGCUAAUACCGGAUAGGAGCUCCUGCUGCAUGGUGGGGGUUGGAAAGUUUCGGCGGUUGGGGAUGGACUCGCGGCUUAUCAGCUUGUUGGUGGGGUAGUGGCUUACCAAGGCUUUGACGGGUAGCCGGCCUGAGAGGGUGACCGGCCACAUUAGGACUGAGAGACGGACCAGACUCCUACGGGAGGCAGCAGUGGGGAGUAUUGCACAGUGGGCGGAAGCCUGAUGCAGCAACGCCGCGUGCGGGAUGACGGCCUUCGGGGUGUAAACCGCUGUCGCCUGUGACGAAGCGUGAGUGACGGUAAUGGGUAAAGAAGCACCGGCUAACUACGUG
rnacentral:rRNA from 1 species